rnacentral:tRNA from 1 species
UGGGGUAUAGCUCAGUGGUAGAGCACAUGCUUCACAGGCAUGAGGUCCUGGGUUCAAUCCCCAGUGCCUCUA